GAUUAACGCUGGCGGCGUGCAUAACACAUUCAAGUCGAACGGUGACGGAGGCUUCGGCCUCCUGAUCAGUGGCGGACGGGUGAGUAACGCGUGAGCAAUCUACCUCUUGGUGAGGGAUAACAACCGGAAACAGUUGCUAAUACCUCAUGAAACGGCAGCAUCGCAUGGUGCAACCGUCAAAGAUUUAUUGCUGAAGGAUGGGCUCAUGUCUGAUUAGCUAGUUGGUGAGGUAACGGCUCACCAAGGCGACGAUCAGUAGCCGGUCUGAGAGGAUGAACGGCCACAUUGGGACUGAGAUACGGCCCAGACUCCUACGGGAGGCAGCAGUGGGGAAUAUUGGGCAAUGGGCGAAAGCCUGACCCAGCAAUGCCGCGUGAAGGAAGAAGGCCUUCGGGUUGUAAACUUCUUUUACCGAGGACGAAGAAAUGACGGUACUCGGCGAAUAAGCUCCGGCUAACUACGUGCCU
rnacentral:rRNA from 1 species